GUUUCCGUAGUGUAGUGGUCAUCACGUUUGCCUCACACGCAAAGGUCCCCAGGUCGAAACUGGGCGGAAACA
rnacentral:tRNA from 1 species